AUAGGGGAGGCGUAGCGAAAGCGAGUCUUAAUAGGGCGUCUAGUCGCUGGGAAUAGACCGAAACCGGGCGAUCUAUCCAUGGGCAGGUUGAAGGUUGGGUAACACUAACUGGAGGACCGAACCGACUACCGUUGAAAAGUUAGCGGAUGACCUGUGGAUCGGAGUGAAAGGCUAAUCAAGCUCGGAGAUAGCUGGUUCUCCUCGAAAGCUAUUUAGGUAGCGCCUCGUGUAUCACUGCUGGGGGUAGAGCACUGUUUCGGCUAGGGGGUCAUCCCGACUUACCAAACCGAUGCAAACUCCGAAUACCAGCAAGUGUCAGCACGGGAGACACACGGCGGGUGCUAACGUCCGUCGUGAAAAGGGAAACAACCCAGACCGUCAGCUAAGGUCCCAAAAUCCUGGUUAAGUGGGAAACGAUGUGGGAAGGCUCAGACAGCUAGGAGGUUGGCUUAGAAGCAGCCAUCCUUUAAAGAAAGCGUAAUAGCUCACUAGUCGAGUCGGCCUGCGCGGAAGAUGUAACGGGGCUCAAACCAGGUACCGAAGCUACGGGUUCAACGUAAGUUGAGCGGUAGAGGAGCGUUCUGUAAGCCUGUGAAGGUGAGUUGAGAAGCUUGCUGGAGGUAUCAGAAGUGCGAAUGCUGACAUGAGUAACGACAAUGCGAGUGAAAAACUCGCACGCCGAAAGACCAAGGGUUCCUGCGCAACGUUAAUCGACGCAGGGUGAGUCGGUCCCUAAGGCGAGGCUGAAGAGCGUAGUCGAUGGGAAACGGGUUAAUAUUCCCGUACUUCUAGUUACUGCGAUGGGGGGACGGAGAAGGCUAGGCCAGCUUGGCGUUGGUUGUCCAAGUUUAAGGUGGUAGGCAGAGAUCUUAGGUAAAUCCGGGGUCUUAAUGCCGAGAACUGAUGACGAUCCUUCUUUUAGAAGGAGAAGUGGUUGAUGCCAUGCUUCCAGGAAAAGCCUCUAAGCUUCAGGUAACUAGGAACCGUACCCCAAACCGACACAGGUGGUUGGGUAGAGAAUACCAAGGCGCUUGAGAGAACUCGGGUGAAGGAACUAGGCAAAAUGGCACCGUAACUUCGGGAGAAGGUGCGCCGGUGAGGGUGAAGGGUUUACCCCGUAAGCUCAUGCCGGUCGAAGAUACCAGGCCGCUGCGACUGUUUAUUAAAAACACAGCACUCUGCAAACACGAAAGUGGACGUAUAGGGUGUGACGCCUGCCCGGUGCCGGAAGGUUAAUUGAUGGGGUUAGCGCAAGCGAAGCUCUUGAUCGAAGCCCCGGUAAACGGCGGCCGUAACUAUAACGGUCCUAAGGUAGCGAAAUUCCUUGUCGGGUAAGUUCCGACCUGCACGAAUGGCGUAACGAUGGCGGCGCUGUCUCCACCCGAGACUCAGUGAAAUUGAAAUCGCUGUGAAGAUGCAGUGUAUCCGCGGCUAGACGGAAAGACCCCGUGAACCUUUACUAUAGCUUUGCACUGGACUUUGAAUUUGCUUGUGUAGGAUAGGUGGGAGGCUUUGAAGCGUGGACGCCAGUUCGCGUGGAGCCAACCUUGAAAUACCACCCUGGCAACUUUGAGGUUCUAACUCUGGUCCGUUAUCCGGAUCGAGGACAGUGUAUGGUGGGUAGUUUGACUGGGGCGGUCUCCUCCUAAAGAGUAACGGAGGAGUACGAAGGUGCGCUCAGACCGGUCGGAAAUCGGUCGUAGAGUAUAAAGGCAAAAGCGCGCUUGACUGCGAGACAGACACGUCGAGCAGGUACGAAAGUAGGUCUUAGUGAUCCGGUGGUUCUGUAUGGAAGGGCCAUCGCUCAACGGAUAAAAGGUACUCCGGGGAUAACAGGCUGAUACCGCCCAAGAGUUCAUAUCGACGGCGGUGUUUGGCACCUCGA
rnacentral:rRNA from 1 species